rnacentral:rRNA from 1 species
ACUCAAAUGAAUUGACGGGGGCCCGCACAAGCGGAGGAACAUGUGGUUUAAUUCGAUGAUACGCGAGGAACCUUACCCGGGCUCGAACGGCAGAGUGAUGAUGGGGAAACUUAUCAGCCAGAAAUGGACUCUGUCGAGGUGCUGCAUGGUUGUCGUCAGCUCGUGCCGUGAGGUGUCGGCUUAAGUGCCAUAACGAGCGCAACCCUUAUUGUUAGUUGCCAGCGGGUAAUGCCGGGGACUCUAGCAAAACUGCCAGCGUAAGCUGUGAGGAAGGUGGGGAUGACGUCAAAUCAGCACGGCCCUUACGUCCGGGGCGACACACGUGUUACAAUGGCCGGUACAGAGGGAAGCUACCUGGUGACAGGAUGCAAAUCUUUAAAGCCGGUCUCAGUUCGGAUCGGAGUCUGCAACUCGACUCCGUGAAGCUGGAUUCGCUAGUAAUCGCGCAUCAGCCAUGGCGCGGUGAAUACGUUCCCGGGCCUUGUACACACCGCCCGU